AAUUAUGGUAAUGAGAUAUAUUUUAAUAUCUGAGUCUGCUAAGUAAUAUCUGGAUCUUUUAUAAGUUUAUUUCUGUUUUCUGCUUUUUAUCUUGAACUUUGGGCAUUUAUUCUUAUCUCUUCACUACUGGCUAAUUUUUUUUAUUGAAUCCUAGACACAGUGUCUGAACAUUUAUGAAGUGUUAUCUUCCUCCACUUGUUACUACUGGAAGGCAGUUAGUGUUGGAAGGAUUGCUCUAACCAAAUCUAAGAUCAAGUCCAUUGGAGGUGGGCUUUAUUCUAUAUGAGGGAUGGUAAAUUUCUAGAGUAUAGGCUUUUGUGGUCCCAGCUGAAAGUGUAGAUUGUUUGCUCAGGCUUUUUCUUCUUGGUGACCCUGAAAUACAUUUUUUUUACCCCAAGUGAUAUUAAGACUCCUAGAAGCUUUAUAUAGCUUCUCAGCUGCUGCUUGAAAACGUAGAAGUGCCACAGGAGCAAAGGCAUGAAUGUUCAGUUUAUCUAGAGGCUUCCUUUUAUUCUGGGAUCUUGUCUUUUGACGUCUUCGCUAAUCUGGUAAGCUUUCUGAUACCUUAAAACAAAUAGCUUGACGGUCUGUAUUUUGUAAUCGUGCUUGGCAGGAGUAUUGGUCUGCACUGAGCUUACCCCAUUGCUGGUAAGAUCUCUGACCAUGGCACUUUGGUUUUCUCUGAUAUGACAACAAUAUUUUUAUAUUUCCUUUUGUUUUCUUCCAUUAAUCAUCUUUGACUUUGCCUUCCUUAUUUCAAAUCUAUUUUAUUGAGACUCUGUCUUAAGGUAUGUGUUUUCAUUCCUUUAGUCUUACUCUUCUAGUGAAUUCAUUUACACAAAUUAGUCUUAAAUCUAUUUCUGUAAGAUAUGUUUUGUGUUUGAUCACUCUGUGUAUUUACCUACUUUUAUCUCAAAAACAGUCUAUUGAUUAAAAGUAGGGGCAUUGGAAUCAUAUGAACUGGAGUCAAGUCUUGAUUUCAUGAAUUACUAGCUGUAAUUCUUUGGUCAAGCUAUUCAACCUCCUCAAAUCUCAGUUUCUCCGUAAAAAAUAUGAAAAUGAUAUAAAUAUGAUUAUUAUGAGGACUGAAUAAGGUCAUGUAGAUAAAAAUGCUUGAUGUAUACAAAAAUGCCUGGCAUAAGCCUGACACAAAGUAAGCACUUAAAAAUGUUAGCUAUUAUUAUUCUAAAUACCAAUUGAAAGGAGAUACAGAGAUAGGUAUUAGGAAGUCAAAAAUACAGUAUCUGUCUUUAGUAUAAUACCUUCCAUUCCUACUGGAGAUUUCCAUUAACAUGUCUCAAUAAUUCUUAAGUUAAAUAUGUCAAAACUGAAAUCUGUGCUUUCUUGACACAGAAUCAAUCAUUCCUGAUAUUACCAGUGACACCUCUAUAUAUUUAGUUCUUUGAAAUACCAAACAGAAUAAUUUUACACUUCCCUCAAUCCUCUGUUGUGUCUGUCACGAUCUCUAGCCAAUUAUUUUUCUCUAAUGUUUCUACUUCUUCCUUUUCUUUCUUCCUUCUACACUUCUAAGAAUGGGCCUCCCUCACUCAGUGCAUAGAUAACCUUACCUAGGUAUUUAUUCUUAAUCAUCCAGGCUUUUGUCCAUUCAUCUGUUGUAUCCUGCAUCCAAGUAUGAAAAUUAUCUUGUAACACAAUUCCAUCACCUAUACCCCUGAUUAGUUUUACAAAAUUUCUCUCUGAUAUCAAUGAUAUCAGAUCCCAACUCUUUAGUGUGGCAUGUAAAAUACUUUAAAGGCUGGUGGUUCGUUUUAUCCCACCUCACCAAGAUUAGUUCUCAUUAAUGAGAAGUCUGAAGAUGGUAAUAAAAAACUAAUCUGAGCAUACAUAGCACCUAAAUCUUGGCAUCUAAUCAGUGUUCUUCAGUAGAAGGAAUAAUAUCUUCUUGAAGAAGUAUUUGAUUCCAGAUCUAGGGCAAGAAAUAUACAAGAUGAACCUGGACUAGUAUGUUAUGCCAGAAAGCAAGGAAAUGACAGGAUCCAAUCUGAGAGAGUUCCCAGUGGCCAGACAUGGAAUAAUACAAGCAACAAAAUUAAUAAUAAUAUUGGAUUUAACCCAUGGAAUAAAUAGAUAUCCAUAAUCCAUGCACAUAUAUAUAUAUAUAUAUGUAUAUGCAUAUGUAUAUAUGUAAAGGAGAAGAGACAGCUCUUCCUCACAAUAGAAUUCCAAUCAACAAAUGUAGAAGAACAGGGAGAACCAUGUAGAGAACCAUUAUUAGGCAGACACUCCACUGGUAAUGUGCAGACAAGAUCCACCAAUGGAUACUAAAAUUAGGGGGGCAAUUAUUUGAGGAAAAAAUAGGAUUUGCAUAAUUUCAAGGAAUCUUCCCUGCCCUAAAUACUUAUAAACUACAAAGGAAAAAAUAGUAAUUUUAUAGCGGGUAAACCUACAGACACCGGUAAUAAGAUAUGCUGAUAUCGUGAACCCCAAGAUAUGAUACACUAAGGAGAGAAACAUCAUUGUUGUGAUAGUUGGGCUAUGCUAGCCAAAAAUUUACUUCAUUCCAGGUAUGGGGAAAUCCUGAACAAAUGCAAAUCAGGAGACAAUCUACAAAAUAACAGCUAAUUUCAGUGGAGACUCAGGAGCCAGUUUGCAAAAUUUUCAACCUAACAAUAUACAGGUUUGGAGUUUUGACUGAAAUACAGAUCUUUUGGCAUUUAAGUUCAUUUGCCUUUGGCAAAAAAAAAA